UCCAGUUUUAACCGCUUCCUCCCCGUGGGAAGAAGAGCCGUGGGUCUGAGUUGACCCCUCCCCGCCGCACUCCCCAGUUUCUUCGCCUCCUACUGGCUGGAGAGGGCGCCGGCCAGGCCGCAUGAAGGGUGGGGACAGGGGAUUUUUUGAACCCUGCAAAGUGUAGGGCAGGAGCCCCCUCGACGGCUGGGAAUGGUGCGGGAAGGGGAAGUUUUUACUUUUCCCAACUUGCCAUCCCCAUCUCCACCCACAAGCAAAAAAAAAAAUCACUCGGUUGUGAUUUCAGGCCCCGGGGAGCUCCCUUCGCUGGCUGCGUGACCUCAGGCUGCUCAUUUCCCUUCUCUGAGCCUCAGGGUCCGCAGCUGGGAGAUGGGUGUGCGCGUGAUAAGGAUGGAACGUGCAGGGUGCGUGUCAGGAUGCAACGAGAAGGUGAGGAAACCGAGGCCCCAGAGGGGUGGAGAGAUUUGCGCAAGCUUUCCGUGGGACGGGAGCCCUCCGCUGCCAUCGUUCACUUCCAGAGACUUUGAAGGGAAAGGCCCAGAACUGGCCUUGAGGCUGAGAACCGGUUUCUAAGGUUAGAUGACUGGGUUUCAAUCUGCCUGUGCCACUUUCGAGCUGUGUGAGCAGGGGCAAGUCACUUGAGCUCUCUGUGCCUCGGUUUCCCUGUCUGUAACAUGGGAAGAACGGCAGUUAUGUUUGAUUGCACACAGUCCUUGAAGGUGAUCCGCGUAAAUGAAGGUAUUUCAGUGCUUCGUCUUAGCUGUUGUGCUGCUCAACCAACGGGAGACCGGGAGACCGGGAGACCGAGUGGAGCUGCACCAGGCCUUGGGGACAGGAUGGUUUGUAUUUGCUACUGGCUUCAAAAAGCUCCAAAGUGUGACAUCCUUCACCUUUUAGUAAUAUCAAAGACUGGUUCCAAGCAUGGUUUCUUCCUGCACGUGCUUCCCAAGGUAAGUAUUUAAAUGUAAGUAUUUCGAAGUGUCUCUGCACUCAAGUCACCCAGCCCAAGAUUCACACAGGACUUCGCCUCCUUGUGAAUAAAGCGACACCGAUCCCGACCAGAGCAAGGCUCAGCCCCAAUUCUCUUGCGCAGAAGGACUCCAUGUCAUUCGUGUUGGCCCCCACGCGUCUCCAGGUCCAAUACGGCAUGGCACGGUUGCCUGCAACACUCUGUGCCUCACCAGUUUCCAACUCUAACUCCUGAUCCUCGCCCUCUAUCAGGAAGGGUCCUGCAAUUCUCAGUAAAAACAAAACUAAACAUAGUCUUACCGCGUGAUCCAGCAAGCCACGCUCCGCGGGAUUACUCAAAUGAGUUGAAAACUUCUGUCCAUACUAAAACCUGCAAACAGAGGUUUAUAGCAGCUUUAUUCAUAACCGCCAAACCUUGGAAGCAACCAAGGUGACCUUCGGUAGGUGAACAAAUAAACAAACUGUGCUACAUUCAGGUGAUGGAAUGUUAUUCAGUGCUAAAACGAACUGAACUAUGAAGCCAUAAAGACAUGGAGGAGCCUUAAAUGCAUAUCACUAAGUGGGGGUCGCCAGUCUGAAAAGGCUGCACACUGUAUGCCUCCAGCUAUGUGACAUUCUGGAAAAGGCACAACUGCGGACACAGUGAAAACAUCAGUGGCUGCCAAGGGUUGUAGGAGGGAGGGAUGACCAGGUGGCGCACAGAGGACCUUUAGGGCAGUGAAGCUACUCUGUCCCAUCUAUGAUGGCAUAUGCACGUCACUGUCCAUCGUUCAAACCCACAGAACGCACACCUGGUGCGAACCCUAAUGGCAACCGGGAGCUUUAAGGGAUAACGAUGUGUCAGUGCAGGCUCACCAGUUGCAGCGAACGUCGCACCCUGGGGGGGGGGGGGGGACGCUGACAGUGGGGAGGCUGUGCGAGCGUGGGGGCAGAGGGGAUACAGGAAAUCUCUGUACUCUACGUUCCAUUUCGCCAGGAACCUAAAACUGCUCUAAGAAAUAGUCUACUUUUUUAAAAAGGUAGUUUUAUCUUGCUCUCAUUUCUAAAAAAAAUUACUGAAGACCACACAAUCUUUGCACAAUGGUUGUUAACAAAGAUCCAAUACCAUGCAGCUGAGCAGCAUGGUCCUAAAUGCCUUUAAAGGCAUAUUCUCCCGAAUGUUAAUCCUUCAUGUACACUUGGCUUUAGGUGAAAAGAACACAUCAAAUGUUACAUAAUCAUAGAGGCACGUGAGUCAUAUACAAAUGUGUUCUUGCACAUAAUUAUAAAGCUAUUAGUGUAGUCUAUGCAAACAUGCAUGCUAAGCUGAAAUUUAUCAUCUUCAGAAGCCACCUCGGCUCUAUGAGCUUUUAGAUUGCCCAAGUUGAAACACCCACUUUUCCUAAAUUCCUCUUUAGUUCCAACUCCCAUCCUGUUUGUGUGUAAAUCCAAAUUUUCUCCUAAAAUUUCUCCUGCAUUUCUGGAAGAUAAGGUCUCCCAACAACCCAGGAAAACCACCAGCAAUGAUGUACUAGUUUAUGAGUUUGAGAAUCCUUUGAUGGGUCCUCUCUAUUUAUGUUUGUCAUUUCUUUAAGUGAAUUUUUAAAUGUCUCAGCCUGUGCACUUUUUUAAACUACUGGAUUAUAAAUUAAUGAAUGCUGUUGAAAAAUCCUGAGCAUAUGAAUUUCUAGAGCAGAUUUUCUCAACCCAAGGUCCUCCUUUGUGGAUAGUCCUAAAAAUCUCAUAGUGGGUAUUUUGAAAACAAGUGGUUUUCUCUUUUCCAAAUGUAAAAAUGAGAAACUAAAUAUGCUUUUCAAGCCAUACAUGGCCCCACAGAUUACGAUACUGUCCCGCUGGAGACGACGCCACCCCCCACCCCUACCACGCUCUGAAGAACAACUGUGCCAGAGCAACAAGGCUGUGGCCAGGGCCCCGCCCAUCAGAAGGCCCCUCCCUCAACCUGACUUCGUCUCCAACAGCCCGGGCCGCCCAGAGCCCCAAGGAGGCCUGACAACCACGUCCCAGCACUCCCGUGGCCCAGGUGCACAUCUCUGAUGACACGACAGCCAUACAAACACCCUUUGCACGAAGAGACCAGAAUCCUCCUGGAGCAAGCCCACGUGUUCGCAGUUACCAACUUCUCCUCAUUACACGGCAGGAAGGGGGUUCGCAAGACAGGAGGCCGUGUUCCACCAGCAUUUCGAGGGCUACCGAAGGUCAUCGACUAAAAAGGGGGAAAACACCUUUCCUCAAACAGCAGC